CCUACGGGAGACUGCAGUGGGGAAUAUUGCACAAUGGGGGAAACCCUGAUGCAGUGACGCCGCGUGAGUGAAGAAGUAUUUCGGUACGUAAAGCUCUAUCAGCAGGGAAGAAAAUGACGGUACCUGACUAAGAAGCCCCGGCUAACGACGGGCCAGCAGCCGCGGUAAUACGUAGGGGGCAAGCGGUAACCGGAUUUACUGGGUGUAAAGGGAGCGGAGACGGCAGCACAAGUCUGGAGUGAAAUCCCAUGGGUUAACCAUAGAAGUGCUUUGGAAACUGUGCAGCUAGAGUGCAGGAGAGGUAAGCGGAAUGCCUAGUGUAGCGGUGAAAUGCGUAGAUAUUAGGAGGAACACCAGUGGCGAAGGCGGCUUACUGGACUGUAACUGACGUUGAGGCUCGAAAGCGUGGGGAGCAAACAGGAUUAGAUACCCCAGUAGUC
rnacentral:rRNA from 1 species